CAGAAUUGAAUUUAUUUGUUCAAUCCCUUUAAGUAACAUGUUCAUAUGCUCUCAAACUAGGGAGGACAAAUUUUGUUCACCUAGAAAUGCUUCCAAAAGGGGAAUGGCCAAAAUGGUGUAGAGCUUGUGGCGGGAGCGGUCUUGGCUAUUGCUCUCGUUGCCUCGGGACAGGAGAGUAUCGGUAUAUUAUGGGGUUCCAAUUCAUGAAGAUGGAGGACAAUGAAAAUGAAACUCAGGAUGUCAUGAAGUAUGAAAAUCAAACCAACCAACAACAUCGAGGUCCCAGAGGCGCAGAGUCUCUUCUACGUGAUGAGUCGAGUUCAGAGCCAGAAAUUUGAGAGAAGGUACAUGGCGUGGUAAUGGUAGAACAGCUAGGAUACAAUUUGACUAUACAUUUUGGAUGGAUCAUAAAAAGGCAGUCUAAUCAGAGGCCAAUUUGACAUAAGCUUAAAGGGGACAAUGGUUCAUCUGUAUCUCUCACUUCUGUAACUGUUGAACUAAAACAAUAAAUCAGCUAACUUAGAUAAGACAUCAUACCCUCAACGACACAUUGAGAGACUUGAAUCCAAUCUAGAAAAUAAUUGGAUUAUCUUUUUUUCUUCA